GAUUUUUUUCCUUGGAGGUUUCCUUCGGCUUCCUCGGGCUCUCGGCAGAUGGCAGACCCAAGACACAGCCCUGAUGUGGACUUCCAGGAUUCUGCCUGGCCAGAGGCAAGAGGGUGGCCCCACCAGCUGGUGCUGCACACAGGAAGCCUGAGCUGACAGCGCUAAAGCAGGGAGCGUUUCACUUGGAACGCUAGCGUUGCCGCUGGAUUCCCCUGGGCAUUGGAAGCCUGGCAGGAAACAUUUCAACAGAGAAGAUGGAAGAAAUAGAGUGAGGAACUGUUUGACGAGACGACUGCAGAGAAGUCCAAAGCACUGCUCCCCAGCAUGCAACAGGGCAGCAAGCAGUAGCCGACUCACAGUAUGGACCCUGGGGCCUCAAAGGUAGAAGCUUGUUCUGAGACAAUGGACGCUCAGACACCCCUCACCUCCUGGA